rnacentral:lncRNA from 1 species
ACCAACUACCCACUCAACCUGACGGGACCAUUAUCAUUCUAGGUGGGAAUCACCAUCAUCCUAACCCCACAUCCCAGCAAUCAACGGUUAAAAAUUUAUGAGUACAAAGAGUCUAUACUCAUAAGAGUAUAGUAAGCUCAGCCUAUAUAUAUAUAUAUAUAUAUAUAUAAUUAGACUGGAAUACUAUUAAUAGUAAAAUCCUCUUUUUGCUAUCAAGUUUUUAGCCCUUGGAUGAAAAAUUGUAGGGUUAGAAUAAUAUUAGUCAGUUAGAGUUGAGUGGUCCCCCUAGGGUUGAGUGGUUCCCACUGGGUUAUAGUAUUUAAUCCAAUAGUUAGAAAUGAUGAAAAGAGUUAAUCCAAAGGCUAAAAAACUGGUAGCAACAAUGGAAUUUUGCUACUAAUAGUAGCCCAGUCCAACUCAUAUGGAAUUAGACUGGAAUACUAUUAGUAGUAAAACCUUCUUUUUGCUAUAAAGUUUUUAACCCUUGGAUGAAAAAUUGUAGGGUUAGGAUGAUAUUAGUCAGUUAGAGUUGAGUGGUCCCCCUAGGGUUGAGUGGUCCGUACUGGGUUAUAGUACUUAAUCCAAUGGUUAGAAAUAAUGAAAAGAGUUGAUCCAAAGGCUAAAAAACUGAUAGCAACAAUAGGAUUUUGCUACUAAUAGUAGCCCAGUCCAACUCUAUAUAUAUGUAUAGUCUUUUAUACUAUCUAUAGUACUAGAGCUCCGGUAUUAUAGUCUCGUUUUCAAUUUUAGGGUGUUCAAACCAACAAUCCACGCUGUUAAAACUAUUCUAGGGUAUCGUACAUAAUUAUUGAAUAUUGAUUUUUAGAACCAAUUAAGUAAAUAUCAGUUUUCAAGUUUCACCUUUUGUAAGACUGGUUUAUUAAAAUAGAAAAAAAAAUGGUUAAUUAAUUAAGUUGAUUUGAAGCAGUUAGAUUUUAAUAUGGCUUAAUAAAAAAAAAAUUUGAACAGUUUUGUUAAACCUGGGUCA